rnacentral:lncRNA from 1 species
AAAAACCUAUUCUGGUGAUCUCAUACUUCGCGGUUGAAAGCCGCUAAUGGCAGCUACACACCCGCCGCGUUAGCAAGACACAGAAGCUCGUCCCGCGCUCUUCUUUGUGGUCCAGCCUAGAGCCGCUCUUCUCCAGGCCGCCCUUUGUGACAGCGAGCUACUUCUCCUGCUUUCUCUCCUAGCAACAGCAGCGUUCUUUCAGACAGCGUCUGUCUCCAGAGCUCUCUGAGCAACCCCGUCUAAGUCACUGGGGAAGGUGGAGGGGGGGCGGCGGAAGGCGAGCAGCUCCGGACCCCCGGCGCCCCCCUGGCAGGCAGCCGCUCUCUGGAGAUUCUCAGCAGUCUUCUGCACCAUGAAUAUUCCCGAAGGAGAUGUUAGGGGUGUGUGCCCUGCGACUGGAAAUAAUGGAAACCUCAGGAGGCUGUGUCCUGAUGUGUGAUGACACGAAAGGAAAAAGAGUGUGGGCUCUGGAGUCACACCAGGAGCCGAGACAUGGUUUCCAUUUCCCCUCUAAGCGAACAACAAGGACACAUUACACCUGAUAGCACGUCCUAUGGGCCCGGCACGCUACUCUGAGUUCUUUAAAUACAUUAACAUGUUUAAUCAUCACAACAACUCUUGAGGAAGUGACUACUAUUAUCUCUAUUUUACAGAUGAGGAAACUGAGGCACAGAGAGGCAAGGUCACUUGUGCAAGGCUACCCUGCCAGUGAGCAGUUUAAGAGAAGCCAGGCUUAGAUGAGGCUCUUCUGCUUCACCUGACCUUUUGGCUCUGUUUCCUCAAUCUGCCUUUCCAAGUCCAGUCUCCUUAACAUCCUGGGGUCCUUUAGUGAGCUGAAGGGCACUGCCUCCCGGGGAGCGCUGCAGAUUUCCAGAUGGUACUGCCUUACUUAGAGGAAGCAAGGAGCAGCUCUGGCCAUGCGAUAUACCUGUGGGUAACCCCACACCCUUCCCCUUCCAUUGCAGAGCUCUGGGAAAUUCCCAGAGCAAAUAGAAGAAGGGUGGAAGGAGGGAGGGAAGGAGGAGAAGGAGAG